ACUCAUCCAGCCCUUAUGUCCCUGCUGAGUCUCCUUCUGAGAAUAUUUGGAAACAGGGUCCGUGCGCCGGAGAGGUGAUGGAGCCACCCCGAGGUGCAGGCACCCCGGCCAUGAGCCCCCAUGAGCGAGAGCAAGACAGAUUUGCCCGCAACAACUUAAGUAACCCGUGACGGGCGGAUUUACAGCCCGCAGGUGGAAAUGCAAAAGGAAGGCUGGAACCUUCGGCUGUCGUUCAGUCAAACAGGAGAAACUUCAAAGACUCACAGUAACAGAAGUGCUGGAAGCGAUCGGGGCGUGAGAUGUUCAUCUGCAUCGUGGGAGACAUGAGUCCUCUUGCUUAGCUUGUCCCCGCAAAACUUUUAAUUGCUUUCAAAUUACCUAACUUCAGCUUUGUUGCUGUUGUGAACUGGAGCGGAAAUAUGAACUUCCAGCAACAGUAACAACAGGUAGGAUGGAAAUUCUGAAGAAACAGAAACCUUUCUCAAACGAACAUUUCAAACUUCUUAUGUUUUCAUAAUGGAAAUACCAGUCAG